rnacentral:rRNA from 1 species
GAUGAACGCUGGCGGCGUGCCUAAUACAUGCAAGUAGAACGCUGAAGGAGGAGCUUGCUCUUCUGGAUGAGUUGCGAACGGGGGAGUAACGCGUAGGUAACCUGCCUGGUAUCGGGGGAUAACUAUUGGAAACGAUAGCUAAUACCGCAUGACAACAGUUAUUGCAUGAUAACUGUUUAAAAUUGGCAACUGCUCCACUACCAGAUGGACCUGCGUUGUAUUAGCUAGUUGGUGAGGUAACGGCUCACCCAGGCGACGAUACAUAGCCGACCUGAGAGGGUGAUCGGCCAAACUGGGACUGAGACACGGCCCAGACCCCUAAGGGAAGCAGCCGUAGGGAAUCUUCGGAAAUGGACGGAAGUCUGACCGCGCAACGCCGCGUGAGUGAAGAAGGUUUUCGGAUCGUAAAGCUCUGUUGUAAGAGAAGAACGAGUGUGAGAGUGGAAAGUUCACACUGUGACGGUACCUAACCAGAAAGCGACGGCUAACUACGUG